rnacentral:ncRNA from 1 species
AAUGAAUCUUCGGAGAUUCAUGAAUCUUUGAGGAUUCAUGAAUCUUUGAGGAUUCAUGAAUCUUCGAGGAUUCAUGAAUCUUUGAGGAUUCAUGAAUCUUUGAGGAUUCAUGAAUCUUCGAGGAUUCAUGAAUCUUUGAGGAUUCAUGAAUCUUCGAAGAUUCAUGA